GACGAACGCUGGCGGCGUGCUUAACACAUGCAAGUCGAACGGAAAGGCCCUGCUUUUGUGGGGUGCUCGAGUGGCGAACGGGUGAGUAACACGUGAGUAACCUGCCCUUGACUUUGGGAUAACUUCAGGAAACUGGGGCUAAUACCGGAUAGGAGCUCCUGUUGCAUGGUGGGGGUUGGAAAGUUUCGGCGGUUGGGGAUGGACUCGCGGCUUAUCAGCUUGUUGGUUGGGUAGUGGCUUACCAAGGCUUUGACGGGUAGCCGGCCUGAGAGGGUGACCGGCCACAUUGGGACUGAGAUACGGCCCAGACUCCUACGGGAGGCAGCAGUGGGGAAUAUUGCACAAUGGGCGGAAGCCUGAUGCAGCAACGCCGCGUGCGGAAUGACGGCCUUCGGGUUGUAAACCGCUUUCGCCUGUGACGAAGCGUGAGUGACGGUAAUGGGUAAAGAAGCACCGGCUAACUACGUG
rnacentral:rRNA from 1 species